rnacentral:rRNA from 1 species
CUACGGGUGGCUGCAGUGGGGAAUAUUGCACAAUGGAGGAAACUCUGAUGCAGCAACGCCGCGUGGAGGAUGACACUUUUCGGAGCGUAAACUCCUUUUAUAUAGGAAGAAGAUGACGGUACUAUAUGAAUAAGCGCCGGCUAACUCCGUGCCAGCAGCCGCGGUAAUACGGAGGGCGCAAGCGUUACUCGGAAUCACUGGGCGUAAAGAGCGUGUAGGCGGAUUAAAAAGUCAGAAGUGAAAUCCUAUAGCUUAACUAUAGAACUGCUUCUGAAACUCUCUAUCUAGAAUGUGGGAGAGGUAGAUGGAAUUUCUGGUGUAGGGGUAAUAUCCGUAGAGAUCAGAAGGAAUACCGAUUGCGAAGGCGAUCUACUGGAACAAUAUUGACGCUGAGAUGCGAAAGCGUGGGGAGCAAACAGGAUUAGAUACCCGGGUAGUC